CCAUUUAUUGGGUUUUCUUAAUAAUUUAUUCCUCAGUAUCUCUAAAAUUAUCUUGACCAUUAAUCAUUCAUUGUUUAGGAUGCCUAAUUGACUCUUAAUCAAAAUAAAAUUUGGAUACACAAAACUAAUUAUUUCUAACCAUACUCGAGGAUUUGAUUAAUUUCCUCCCCCCCCCCCCAAUUUAAUCUGCAUUGUCCUCAAUGGAGUAGGAAAGCAAAGAAAAUAAAAGGAGAGAGUGCACCUGGGAUAAUUUUGCUUCAGAAGUUGAAGAUAGCUUCAUUGAUUAAUAGGCUCUUGUUCUAAAUUUUUACAGCUGCUGUAAAGUUAAAAAAAAUAUGAAAUCGUUGGGUUGCCUCCCAACAAGCGCUAAGUUUUACGUCUUCAGCCAGACUGAAUUGAGUAUUAUGGCGAUAUUGGAUCCACUAAAUCAACAGAUUCAAUUAAUUCUCCAUCACUAAUUCUAUCUAUGUAAGGUUUCAAUCGCUGACCGUUCACUUUAAAAGUGUUCUCCUGUUUAGGAUUUUUGAGUUCUAUAGCUCCAUGAGAAAAUACCUGAGUUACAAUGAAAGGUCCGUCCCAACGUGAGCGAAGUUUUUCAGGAAAUAGACGCAACCUAGAAUUGAAGAGCCAAACUUUUUGAUUGGGCUCGAACAUUUUUC
rnacentral:lncRNA from 1 species